GACGAACCGUGCGAACGUUAUUCGGAAUCACUGGGCUUAAAGCGUGUGUAGGCGGAUGCCUAAGUACCUUGUGAAAUCCCACGGCUCAACCGUGGAACUGCUGGGUAUACUGGGUGUCUUGGGCCAUUCAGGGGCGACUGGAACAAGCGGUGGAGCGGUGAAAUGCGUAGAUAUCGCUUGGAACGCCGAAGGUGAAAACAGGUCGCUGGGGAUGUGCCGACGCUGAGACACGAAAGCCAGGGGAGCAAACGGG
rnacentral:rRNA from 1 species